rnacentral:rRNA from 1 species
GUGGUACAGGAUGGGCCCGCGUCUGAUUAGCCAGUUGGCAGGGUAACGGCCUACCAAAGCGACGAUCAGUAGCCGGCCUGAGAGGGCGGACGGCCACACUGGGACUGAGACACGGCCCAGACUCCUACGGGAGGCAGCAGUGGGGGAUAUUGCACAAUGGGGGGAACCCUGAUGCAGCGACGCCGCGUGGGUGAAGAAGCGCCUCGGCGCGUUUUUUCCUGUCAGCAGGGAAGAAAAUGACGGUACCUGAAGAAGAAGCCCCGGCUAACUACGUGCCAGCAGCCGCGGUAAUACGUAGGGGGCAAGCGUUAUCCGGAUUUACUGGGUGUAAAGGGGGCGCAGGCGGCGAUGCAAGCCAGGAGUGAAAGCCCGGGGCCCAACCCCGGGACUGCUCUUGGAACUGCGUGGCUGGAGUGCAGGAGGGGCAGGCGGAAUUCCUGGUGUAGCGGUGAAAUGCGUAGAUAUCAGGAGGAACACCGGUGGCGAAGGCGGCCUGCUGGACUGCAACUGACGUUGAGGCCCGAAAGCGUGGG